ACAAAUUAUUAUUUAUCACUAUCUAUAUUUUUUUAUUAAUCCUAGAGGCAUUUUGCACUUGCUGGGACUCGAACCCAAGCCCAUAGGACUCGAACCCAAGCCCAUAGGACUCGAAACCAAGCCCCAAUUAAUGUUAUAAGCAAACUGCAACAGCCAGGAUUCGAACCCAAGUCUUUCCAGUGACCCGGGGAAGCAUUGACCACU
rnacentral:lncRNA from 1 species